rnacentral:rRNA from 1 species
GUCGAGCGGUAGAGAGAAGCUUGCUUCUCUUGAGAGCGGCGGACGGGUGAGUAAUGCCUAGGAAUCUGCCUGGUAGUGGGGGAUAACGUUCGGAAACGGACGCUAAUACCGCAUACGUCCUACGGGAGAAAGCAGGGGACCUUCGGGCCUUGCGCUAUCAGAUGAGCCUAGGUCGGAUUAGCUAGUUGGUGGGGUAAUGGCUCACCAAGGCGACGAUCCGUAACUGGUCUGAGAGGAUGAUCAGUCACACUGGAACUGAGACACGGUCCAGACUCCUACGGGAGGCAGCAGUGGGGAAUAUUGGACAAUGGGCGAAAGCCUGAUCCAGCCAUGCCGCGUGUGUGAAGAAGGUCUUCGGAUUGUAAAGCACUUUAAGUUGGGAGGAAGGGCAGUUGCCUAAUACGUAACUGUUUUGACGUUACCGACAGAAUAAGCACCGGCUAACUCUGUGCCAGCAGCCGCGGUAAUACAGAGGGUGCAAGCGUUAAUCGGAAUUACUGGGCGUAAAGCGCGCGUAGGUGGUUUGUUAAGUUGGAUGUGAAAUCCCCGGGCUCAACCUGGGAACUGCAUUCAAAACUGACUGACUAGAGUAUGGUAGAGGGUGGUGGAAUUUCCUGUGUAGCGGUGAAAUGCGUAGAUAUAGGAAGGAACACCAGUGGCGAAGGCGACCACCUGGACUAAUACUGACACUGAGGUGCGAAAGCGUGGGGAGCAAACAGGAUUAGAUACCCUGGUAGUCCACGCCGU